rnacentral:tRNA from 1 species
GUAGGUAUAGUUUAACUAAGACAUUAGAUUGUGAUUCUGAAAACAGAGGUUAAAACCCUCUUACCCACC